ensembl:lncRNA
GCAGCUCCUGGUACAGACUGUGACACUUCAGAGUCCCUGCCUGUGUCAUUCUGCAUCUGGGGAAACUCAGGGAGGUUGUCUUGUGCCUAGACCUGCCAACAACGGCUGUCUCAGUUUGCUCAGGCUACUGUAACAAAAUACCAUAAACUGGAUGUCUGCUAAACAGAAACCUCUUUCUCAAAGUUCUGGAGGCUGAAAGUCCAAGACUAAGCUGACUGCGUGUUCUGCAGUGUUUUGGGAAGCCUGAAGGUGUCACUCUUUCCUGCAGAGUAAACAUCCAGGUCUCUGUAGCAGCGGUUUGCUUCUGAGACUGUCCUACCCUUCCAGGCCAUAACACCAGGUGGGAGGAUGUGUGAUAUCCUUUACCAUUAUCCAAGAGC